rnacentral:lncRNA from 1 species
GUCCGCAUUCUAAGACAGUUGGAAACUUGGCAACCAAUGCUCUAUCUCUGGGAAACCGAUAGAGAGGGUAUGUGGAAGUAUCUCUCUGAAGGAAACCGAUUUUGGAGCUUCCUGGGAAUUGGAUCAUCUUUUACAGAGAAGUUGAAAUUUCUCCCAGUAUCUUCUAUCACAGAAAACCAAAUCAUCUAUCAAAUAAUAUUUUUAAGCAAUGAGGGAAAGAGAGAAGAGAAAAAACUCAAUAGUCAGUUAAUACAUAAAAAAAUACUUAAGCAAUGUACUAUCUUUGUGGACCUCUCACUUCUGCCAAUGAAUAAGGAUAGAAGUGUGUCUUCUCAUAUCUCUUCUUUGGGACCACACGAAUAAACAA